UACGUAGGGGGCAAGCGUUGUCCGGAUUUAUUGGGCGUAAAGAGCGUGUAGGCGGCCUGGUAGGUCCGCUGUGAAAACUCGAGGCUCAACCUCGAGACGCCGGUGGAAACCAUCAGACUAGAGUCCGGAAGAGGAGAGUGGAAUUCCUGGUGUAGCGGUGAAAUGCGCAGAUAUCAGGAAGAACACCCGUGGCUAAGGCGGCUCUCUAGUACGGUACUGACGCUGAGACGCGAAAGCGUGGGGAGCGAACAGG
rnacentral:rRNA from 1 species